rnacentral:misc_RNA from 1 species
UUGAUUGAUUCAAUAUCUACUCAGACGCUGGGAUGCAGUGUUGGAGGGGUCCACCGGGGGCCCCGAGCCCGAAGGCCGGGUCGCCCCCGAGGCAACUGGGUCGGAUAACAUGGGGUUGGAGGUCGGACCCGGAGGCCCUCGCUCAGUAAUGAUCCCUCCGCAGGUUCACCUACGGAGA